ACUCUUGUUUAAGACCGCAGCUUUAUGGGGUCAGAGGUCAGUUCAGAAAAAAGGGGCUGGGCUCUGUGCUUUUUUUAGAAUACAAUAUUCAAAUAAGUAGCUCUCUAGCUAGCAUACAGGCUAGGCAGUAAGAGAGUAGCGAGCUAGCAUGCAGGCAGUAAGAGAGUAUCACAGAUAGAAGAGGAAGAGGGAUUGGAAACGGAAGUACCCUCGUGUGAGUAUAGAUAUAUAGAAGAGGAAGAGGGAUUGGAAACGGAAGUACCCUCGUGUGAGUAUAGAUAUGAGGCAGCUCCAAUUGUUUGGUACUACUGGGCAAGCUCGCUGUUUAUUUCCUCAUCUUUUACAAUGUCCCCGAGGAGUCCAGUAUCUGGAGCUGUCGUUUGGAGCAUUGAUCAGCCCCUCAAAUUUGCCAUUUUGUCCGGAUUUGCGAGGUUUCGGAUUAAAGGGGUCCGGAUUAGCGAGGUUCUAUACCUAAAUCAAAUUAUCAGAGGCUUAACUAGCGAAGACUCGACUAGCGAAGCUCAACUAGCAAAAGCUCAACUAUAUAGCGAAGCUCAAGUGCAGAACACCAAGUUGAGAACACUAAAUAGCGAAGCUCAAUUUCAGAACACCAAGUUGAGAACACAACUGCUAAUUGACCUUCAGGGCCAUGCACCGUAUCCACUCCUCGUGGCCAUCUAAUUCACGCUCGGUUGGGAAUACUACACGACGAGCCAUGGCCUGCACCCAUCCCUUCAAUUGUCUGGUGGCUCUCUGCAAUUUUCACUUACUGCACAUACUCCGGACGGAAUCGACGGCGAGAAGAACUGCUCUAUUAGGUGAGCCCCAGAGCCAAACAACUGGCCUAACGAUGGGACUGUAAUUAGUACUGUAUGUGUGGCCAUGCAAUCUAAGAAAAAAUGCACUUGACCAAACUCCUCGUAACCUCUUGUAAACUGCCUACAUGUAGCUGCGACAGUAGUGUUGCAACCUAUACUCCUUCCAUGCACUGUUACAUGCAGUCUAGUAGUGUGCGGUAGUCAAUUUCGCUAAUUAUGGUAAAUACACAUGUACAUGCAGGUAAUGUGUAAGAUUAAUACGUGUAGUUAAGAUUAAUAGUUACGAUUGUCCUGUGCAUGCCUUGCACUUCCAUUUACAGGUCUUUGGCUUCCUUGAAGAGCAUCCUGGCUGCAUAGCCCUCUGCUCCCUUGGACGUCCCCUUGUACAGCUCCUCCUUGAUAAUUAAAUCUCGGCCCUUUUGGCACAAGUGCUUUCGAAAAAGCAGUUCACCUGUGAAAUAGAUUAUGCCAAGGCAUUGCCUAUUAAUAACAGCCUCCGUAUAAACCACGAUCACAACACAAUUAUAGCAUUGACAUCACACGAUUUGUAAGUGAUGUAUUAUACAAACUAAUGGCCACAUUGUUAACGCUAUAUAAACAAGGAGAUAAUUAUCACCCAAUUCAAUUAUUAUAUGAGAAUUUAGCUAACAAUACAGACUGAAUGGCCUGACUGGCCUGUGUUUCCAAAACUUGCUAGGUGCCCAUUACAAUUCUCACCCCGCCUAUAUACAUGUAUAUUAUGCUGACUUACCUGUGAAGUAGUUUCGAAUACUGAAGGUAAAGUUCUUUGAAUGGUAGCCUCUUGUCAUCCAUGCUCCAUCUGCAACUGUCACUGCUCUCUCCCACGAACCUAGCUCUUCCUUUUUCUUUUGUUUCAUGGCCUCUCUGGCUUCUGUGCACAUCUCAUCCACCAUUUCUUUGACCACUGGGAACAUGAAGCGUAUAGUGUCCUGAAACCGGUCAUCGUAUGUGGACUGAAUACCCAGCGAGUGGCGUAAGACCUUGGUGUAGGUUGUGUAGGUACAUCCACUGAUGAUGAAGGCAACAUGCAGUGCUCGUGUGAUCUCACUGUUCCUUCCAUCUACCUUGCACGUGUCAAAUGUGACCUCUUGCUCCUGGCAUCCGUCACAGUUGUAGAUUAUUGUUGCAGCUCCACCUUUUCCCCUCCUGACUGAAGUGGAAACAAUGUUACCUCUACAAGCUGGUGUAGGGCACUGACGAAUCGCAUUGAGGUGUUUCACAAACUUGUCCAAUUGGCUCAAAUCAAGAAAGCAGAGAGCAUUCUGAGAAGCCUCUUUACAUUCCAUGUCCGUUGGUGUUAUAAAGUAGUCAUAAUCAUUAGGGUCUCCCACAGUGGAGAGGGAUGUGUCCAGCUGGGGGGGGGGAGAAUUAUAAUGUAAUAGUGGCUUCAACUCUUCAGCUUCUAGAUCGCUUUGUUCGUAUUGCGUUUUCUUUUCUCUUUAACUUUCCUUCAUACUUUUUUCUGUCUGAGGAAAUCACCAAAAUAGACCAUUGCUCGAAUGACGAGAUCCUCUUCAUUAUCUGAAACCGUUUCCGUCUCUGCUGAGGCACCUUCAAAGGUUUCACUUGUCACUGGUUGUAGAGUUGGCUCCGUUGCGACACCAUGGUAGGUUUCUUUCAGUAUAGAGAGGCAGUUUUAUCUCUUAGCUCGUUGUGCCUUAUGCUGGGGUAGCCUCCUCUUGGGCAUGAGAGAGCAUGUUGAAUAGAGAACGUCUGGCCACAGACACAGUGGGUUGGACCAUAUUGCAUAUUGCGUCACAAAAGGCCGUUUUUUAAUUACAUAACUACAUUGCUCGUGAAAAUGAACGUGGCGAUUAUUAUUAUUAUUAAGUUGCCUUUGCACGACUGAACGCAACUCUUUCAUGCUUGAUGGUUCUCUUGAGGCUGGGGUGUCACACCUACAACGUAUUACAGUAUUAGCACCACUUCAUUGUGAGCUAACAGAUAUAUAACAGGAACGCACCUGGUUUAGUUGAGACCAAGAACGAUGUGGGAAUGUUAGGAUUGGUCUCCGAGAAUUUACAACCACCCUGAGUGCCUCCAACAUAGUGGUUUUUGUCAUUGCACACGAUGAACGUCACGUGUACUCCAAACUUCUCAGCCCAGUCACAGUCACACUGAAAAACAAAAACAAAAACAAGUACAUACAAUGAACUUGUAGUAGGCUCUGAAAUAAAUAUGUGAUUUGUCCCCUCUCCUACUAACAGAAACCAUACAUUGUAAUAACGUAUCAAUCGUAUGUACUGUAUUACUAGCGAGUAAAAACAUAUGCAAAUUUUGCGAGGGUUGAUCAAUUUGCAACAAUAAAAUCGCAAAACUUACUAGUAAAUGCACACGAUCCUUGCCAAAUCGCAAUAGUUGGAUCGCAAAGGGUCAAAUUUUCUGCUGAUUUAGCUCAUUCGCAAAGGUUUUUCACCCGCAAAAUAUUCUAGUAAUACGGUAUACACUCUAACAGCGUAUUAAUUGUUACUUAGUUGUGAUAUAUAGAGUGGAAACUGCAUUUGGUGAACCACAUUUGAAAACAACAAGUAUGUAUUGUAUACACGGCAACUACAUAUAAUGCUCAGAAACCGGAUACUAAGGAAUUUAACCCACCAUGUAUAUACAGGAACUUGGAGGAGAUGUCUGCUAGAGAGACAGGAUUCACAACUGGACACACCCCUCUCCACUGUGGAAUACCCUCAAGAUUCGGACUACAUUCUAACACCAAUAGACAUAAAAUGUACUAAUGCGCAUGAAAAGGUGGAUGAGAUGUGCACAGAAGCCAGAGAGACCCUGAAACAAUUAAUGGAACCAGAAGAGCUAGGAUUGUGGGAGAGAGCCGUAGAUGACAAGAGGUCAUCAUUCGAAGAACUUGUACUUUCAGUAUUCGAAACUAUUUCCCAGGUAAAUUGCAGCAUCUGUGUCAAAAGGGCGAUCUGUACAAGGGGACGUCCAAGGGAGCAGAGGGCUAUGCGCCAGGAUACUUUUCCAGCAAGUCAAAGAACAGAUAAAAUAGCUUUUAUGACUAAAUGUAUAAACUAAUAAGUUGUUUUGAAGCUGUAAGUAAAUGCAGAACUAUUAUUAUAUGGCAGCAAGGUGAA